rnacentral:rRNA from 1 species
CCUACGGGUGGCAGCAGUGAGGAAUAUUGGGCAAUGGACGAGAGUCUGAACCAGCCAAGCAGCGUGAAGGAUGACUGCCCUAGGGUUGUUAAACUUCUUUUAUAUGGGAAUAAAAUGUUCCACGUGUGGGAUUUUGUAUGUACCAUAUGAAUGAGGAUCGGCUAACUCCGUGCCAGCAGCCGCGGUAAUACGGAGGAUCCGAGCGUUAUCCGGAUUUAUUGGGUUUAAAGGGAGCGUAGGUGGAUUGUUAAGUCAGUUGUGAAAGUUUGCGGCUCAACCGUGAAAUUGCAAUUGAUACUGGCAGUCUUGAGUGCAGUUGAGGUAGGCGGAAUUCGUGGUGUAGCGGUGAAAUGCUUAGAUAUCACGAAGAACCCCGAUUGCGAAGGCAGCUUACUAAACUGUGACUGACAUUGAGGCUCGAAAGUGUGGGGAGCAAACAGGAUUAGAUACCCGAGUAGUC